rnacentral:rRNA from 1 species
UACGUAGGGGGCAAGCGUUGUCCGGAUUUAUUGGGCGUAAAGAGCGUGUAGGCGGCCAUGUAGGUCCGUUGUGAAAACUCGAGGCUCAACCUCGAGACGCCGAUGGAAACCAUGUGGCUAGAGUCCGGAAGAGGAGAGUGGAAUUCCUGGUGUAGCGGUGGAAUGCGCAGAUAUCAGGAGGAACACCGAUGGCGAAGGCAGGUCACUGGGCCGCAACUGACGCUGAGGAGCGAAAGCAUGGGGAGCGAACAGG